GACAUGCGGGCGCGCAUAGAGGAAGGCAUCGUGUACUCACCUUACACCUACACUCCACGCGCCGAAGAUCGGACGCUGAGCAGCUUCCUCAUGGAAGCGCUAACAGCCCAUGGAUCGAAGACAGCUUUGAAAGCAUUUGUAGUAGGUGAGAAAAGAUCCGGCUUCAAUGACGUCUCUGAAUUCAGCCGAAAUGACGAAUUACUGAACGAAGACGAAAAGUUUGACACAGGUGAUUGCAUAUUCGCGAAGUGGACCACGGGCACAAGUGCUGUACCUAAAGGCGUCGAAUAUAGUGAAGAACGCUUCCUCGGGCUAAUUUCGUGCCUUGCUGGUUGUGAAUUCCUUUCUUCGAAUGACAUCUUGCUGGGUGACUGGGCUAUUUGCUUUCUCCCGGAGUUCGGCAUGUGGCUUCUGGCACUCAGUCUUGGAUCUACCAUUGCGAUCAGCAAGACGUGCCAGGCUGUACCUCUUGACGUCUUCGACGUAAUAAAAGAUUGUAAGGCAGUUGCGAUGGUUACCAUUUUUCCGAGGCUAAGGCUGAUACUAGACUUUAUGAAAACAUCCCAAGACCGGGGCGAAGUUCUUAGAAAGGCAGUCAGAAGAAUUACUGUGAUCGCCACUAUGCCCACACCAGGCCUGGUAGAAGAGCUGACCAGUACUUUCCAGCUGGACGAACUUCGCACCAGCUAUGGAAUGACCGAAGCGGGAGGAUGCAUGACCCUUACUCCGAAAGGAGAUAAGUCCGUGUAAUAACGUGGGUUUUCCGAUACCUGGAACCAGGAUGAAGGUAAUCGAUCCAGAAAGCAGCAAGAUACUCGGACCCAUACAGUGCGGAGAGGUGCUCUUUGAUACACCGUGCGCUGCACUUCGGUACUGCGGGCAUCCUGAACCUACGGCCACCAUCACAGAUGAACAAGGGUGGAUAUAUACUGGUAACCUCGGUUACUACAACCACGAUGGGAGACUCUUUUUAUGUGGUCGCCUCAAGACGAUGAUGCUGUGCCAGAGGAGGAGAGUGUCUCCAGUUACUAUAGAACACUGCCUAAUAGAACAUACUGCCGUGCAAGAGGUAGCCGUAAUAGGCGUACCCGCGCCGGACGGUGACGAGUUCCCGGCUGCCGUGGUCAUCACAAAGCCGGGAUAUUCGCAGGACCAUCAACUCGCCGACGACCUGAAGCGUCACGUGGCUG
rnacentral:misc_RNA from 1 species